GGUUGGUCUGAAGGUAGUGAGUUAUCUCAAGUUAUUUGCUCACAGUCAGUUACUGAUUGAACUUCUUAUUCUACUCUUUCCCCCUUCUCACUACUGCACUUGACUAGUCUUUA
rnacentral:Y_RNA from 1 species